rnacentral:rRNA from 1 species
UAUUCCCUACGGGGCGCAGCAGUGAGGAAUAUUGGUCAAUGGGCGCGAGCCUGAACCAGCCACGUCGCGUGAGGGAAGACGGUCCUAUGGAUUGUAAACCUCUUUUGUCGGGGAGCAAAAGACACCACGUGUGGCGUUCCGAGAGUACCCGAAGAAAAAGCAUCGGCUAACUCCGUGCCAGCAGCCGCGGUAAUACGGAGGAUGCGAGCGUUAUCCGGAUUUACUGGGUUUAAAGGGUGCGCAGGCGGAAGAUCAAGUCGGCGGUAAAAUUGAGAGGCUCAACCUCUUCGAGCCGUUGAAACUGG